UGUAGGAGCCGGCUUGCUGGCGAUAGCGUCCGUUCAGUUAAUAAACAGGUGACUGACCCACCGCUAUCGCCAGCAAGCCGGCUCCUACA
rnacentral:misc_RNA from 1 species